rnacentral:rRNA from 1 species
UAGGGAAUAUUGGACAAUGGGCGCAAGCCUGAUCCAGCCAUGCCGCGUGAGUGAAGAAGGCCCUCGGGUUGUAAAGCUCUUUUGUCCGGAAAGAAAAGCAUUGGGUUAAUACCCCGGUGUUCUGACGGUACCGGAAGAAUAAGCACCGGCUAACUUCGUGCCAGCAGCCGUGGUAAUACGAAGGGUGCAAGCGUUACUCGGAAUUACUGGGCGUAAAGCGUGCGUAGGUGGUUCGUUAAGUCUGAUGUGAAAGCCCUGGGCUCAACCUGGGAAUGGCAUUGGAAACUGGCGGACUGGAGUGCGGUAGAGGGUAGCGGAAUUCCCGGUGUAGCAGUGAAAUGCGUAGAGAUCGGGAGGAACAUCCGUGGCGAAGGCGGCUACCUGGACCAGCACUGACACUGAGGCACGAAAGCGUGG